rnacentral:rRNA from 1 species
UACGUAGGUGGCAAGCGUUGUCCGGAUUUACUGGGCGUAAAGGGCGUGCCGGCGGUCUGUUAAGUUCAGGGUGAAAGCUCCCGGCUCAACUGGGAGAGGUCCUUGGAUACUGGCAGACUUGAGGAGGGUAGAGGAGAGUGGAAUUCCCGGUGUAGUGGUGAUAUGCGUAGAUAUCGGGAGGAACACCCGUGGCGAAGGCGGCCCACUGGGCCGGUGCUGACGCUGAGGCGCGAAGGCGUGGGGAGCGAACGGG